GCUCAGAUCGCUCCUGCUGAGACCAGUUGAGAAGUUGGUCCCUUGGCAAAAACAAAACACUUACGGACCAUUUGCCUUCCAUUAUGGCCAAUCAAAGACUAAAACAAAGGGUUCUCAGUGAAAUGGAAGAGAAUGCUGGGUGGGGCUGCCACACACCCUGGAGCCAAGACAUAACGGCAGGAAUCAACAACUCACCCUAAUCGUUUGAGAGGAUGCCAGAGAGAGGCCGAAAGAAAGCAAACAAGAACUAGAGCAAUUGAGCAUGCGAGAGGAGAGGAGAGGAGAGGAGAGGGGAGGCGGGUCAAC